rnacentral:rRNA from 1 species
AUUCCAGCUCCAAUAGCGUAUAUUAAAGUUGUUGCAGUUAAAAAGCUCGUAGUUGGGUUUCUGGUCUCUGUGUGAUGGUCCGCCGUGAGGUGAGCACUGUUGCUGGGGACCUUCUUCUUGAAGGGGUGUGGUGUUCUUAACUGAGUGCUGCAUUUAUUCAAGACCUUUACUUUGAAAAAAUUAGAGUGUUCAAAGCAGGCGUUUUGCUUGAAAACAUUAGCAUGGAAUAAUGGAAUAGGACUAGGGUUCUAUUUUGUCGGUUUCUAGGACUUUAGUAAUGAUUAAUAGGGAUAGUUGGGGGCAUUAGUAUUUAAUUGUCAGAGGUGAAAUUCUUGGAUUUAUGAAAGACUAACUUCUGCGAAAGCAUUUGCCAAGGAUGUUUUCAUU